GGCCUCUGGGACUGCUAGGUUGUGGUCACUGCCCUGUCAAGGCAGACAUCAGGCGGGUUCGAUUCCCGUAGGGGUCGC
rnacentral:tRNA from 19 species